rnacentral:sRNA from 1 species
AGAACUCGGCCCCUGAGCAGCACAUUCCUUGGGUCACAGCUGGGCUGGGGACAGCAAUGACACUGAUGUGUUCACCCAAAACAGGCCUCCUAUAUGGCCGAUUUGGAAAGUGCACUCAGGGCAUGUUGGUAUUGGGGGUGGUUUUGGACUGAGGACCCAGCCCCCAUGUGACCCAGGCUGUGCUUGCAGGAGGAUACUUCUCUGGUGAGCAGGCGGGAGAAGUGUUGGAGAGCGCCGUCCUGGCUUUGUGUUCCCAGCUGAAAGACGAUGCAGUUGCCCUGGUAGACGUGAUCGCUCCUCCUGACUUUGUUCUGGACUCACCGAUUGGCAGAGCCGAUGGCGAGCUCUACAAAAACCUCUGGGGCGCUGUCCUGCAGGAAAGCAAGGUGUUGGAGCGGGCAUCCUGGUGGCCAGAGUUUUCUGUGAACAAACCUGUCAUAGGAAGUCUGAAAUCGAAGCUCUAGUGGGACUGGCACACAUUCAGCCAAGUCUAAUGAAACGAAGGGAACUAAUCAGACUUGGACCUCAACUUCUGAUUCCAGAACACGCCGGAGAUUGCUGCUGCUUUCUGAGCCCGCACCUGUGCGCCUAAACUGCUGAUUGGCCUCAACCGCCCAGGCGGACGGGAGGGAGGCGCCCGGCCGGCUGGACUAAUCUGGGAUUGCGGUGAUUUGCAGCGUGGAAAAGAAAUACAGAUGAUCAUGUCUACCUGA